UUUGGGCCUAAUUGCUAUUUACACAGCGAUAGACACCUGUUCUAGCUGAGACACUGGCUCAUGAAUCCCACACCUGAGACCUUAGGGAAAGUAGAGGGGAAAUUUUCAAGCAGCUGCCAGUCCACUUCGGAAGCAGCACAGAAAUGCUGAUGUGAGUUUACCCAUGAACCUGGAAGUGGGGCUUCAGGCCAGCUGAAAAUAUAUGCAGUAUAUACUGCUUGCAGUGCAAAGACCUGACAACUCUGAUGUCUGAGUAUACCUAUCAUUCAGCUUUGGGGAAGGAAACGUGGACCUGGAAGAAACUGCUGUUGCUCUGGGAGCAUGACUCCUCCUCUUCUCUGAAGAUCUUCACAGCUCCUGUGAGCAGCCUGCUGCUGCUGCUGAACCCAGGCUUACCGCCAAAUUGCCAAUGUGCUCCUGCCUUCCUACCAGCAGGCCAGCCUUGAUGUUUUGCAGUUUUGACAGAACAGAAUAUGGUAGCCAUGGGAUCACCAAUGGAUUUACUAUGCUGGAUAGGAACUGGUAGCAGCAGAGACAUCAAAUUCGUACAGCUACCACUGAGUGUUGCUAUGGGCACUGAUGCAGAGGCGAAAAUACAGGCUAAGCCAUUGCUUGAUUUUUCUAUUCAAGCAACUCUUGAGUACUAAAGGAAUGGCCAUCUGCCAGUGUUUGUAAUAGAAGGUCAGUAUACGGUGACAUUCAGCAAAUUGGUAUUAUAUGCAUUAGAUCUCUGCUUUAUAAGUUUUUGUUCUAUCUCAGCAAUAUGAACCUUGAAUAAAAUAAUAGCUAUCAUUUCAGAGGUGCAGAUUUGGAGGGAACAUGCACAGUGACAAGAGUAUUUGAGUGUGCUCUGUCCCCCCACCCCCUAUAAUUUAAAAAUGCAAAAGUAUCUGAAAAUAAGGAAUGGCAUCUGCCUGAAUAACAGCCCUAGGCAGAAAAACAAGCAUGCUAGAGACUGCACAUCUGCUGAUCUAUGCAGCUGGUGGUAGUCCAGUCAUUCUUAGAAAUGCCACAGGCACUAGGGGAAUGGUCUGUGGCAGGGAAAAUUAAGGGACCUUAGUACAGAACAGCAAAGAUCACAUCACAGGUAGCCCCUCUCAUUUACCUUAUAGCUGAUGCGGGGCUCAUGGCUAUGCUAGAUCUCUACAAUAAUUCUCAUAGCAUUGAGCCCCAGAUACAUGGCAUACUGAGCAAGGGAGGGCAGCGGAAGGACUUUUGCAGUGCUCGCUAACAGAGGUGGAAAACCCAUAGCUGGUACUGAAUAUCAGGUUUUCCUUGAGAAAAUUAUUUCUCUAGGGGAAGAAACUGGUUAGCCAAGCUAACAGUAGUUCCAACACAUCCAAGCAUUCUGUGGCUAGCCCUUAUCAAGCAUGACAGCAGCUCCCACUGAAAAUGUAGCUUUCCAUAUUUUCAGAAAUGGGUGCUCUGUCUGUGAUGCGUGGAACAGCCCUAUAACUAUUUGCUACUAAUAUUAUUCCCUGUACAUCCUUUUAAUUUAAAAUUGUGCCUGAUUUCCUGUUCACGGUCAGAAUGGAGUUUUAGGCUACUCUUCUUGCGAGCUGGUAAGUGGCACAGGUCCUUUGCUGAAGGAAGCAGCAGAGAGAAGUUUGAAAUGCACUGAUAUGAGACGAGUCAAGAGUUAUGUCUGUCUCUCCAAACCUUGAUGAAUUGCAUAUUAUUUCCUUCAUUAAGUUUAGGCUUCAACCAGUCUACAACACAGACAUGAAUAAAAAUACAGAGCAGUUUCAGUCUGGUGACGAUUUUAUUCAUUGGUAUUACGUGUCUGAUAAUAGUUGCAUUCUACUUCUUGGCUCUGUGAGCUUUCCAUAUAUUUCACAGGCUGAGUUUUUUCAUUAAGUAUCCUCAGACAAAAUCCUUAGACUCUUCUUCUAAAGGUAAUUGUUUAAGGGGAUUAGUAGCUUUUUUUCAAGAUGUGGAAGGAGGGUUAUAAAAAGAGCAACAUGGCUUCUUUGAUACUCUCAUCUUGACCUUAGGAAUAUGCCCAGAGGGUUGCUAAGAUCAUAGGCUGAACUAAUUAUUGUCAAGGGGAAUUAAUCCACCAUUAUAUUUUAGCUAAUAUUCAUUGGUCAGGCUGGGGGAAAACACUGUGGUACAGUAUUCUGCCCAACAACCCUACUUAAAAUGUUAGCAUCUCUCUGUUGUUGUUUAUUUUGUCAGGUUCUCUAU